GCGACAGGUUCGGCUGCAGCAUGGGCCCCGAGAGGACGGGCAUGGGCUUGCCGAGGAACUUGGUGGCGAGGGCGUAGACGCGGUUGAGCUCGUCCUUGAGCCGCGCAUUCUCGAUGCACAGGUGCUGCUCCUCCAGGGACACCUCCCCGAGCAUGGCGGGGCUCCCGCAGCUGCCGCACAUCGGGCUGCGCAUCGCCUCCCGGAUCGCCAUGUUCUCGGCCCGCAGCUUGUCGUUCUCUUGCUUGAGAAGCGCGUUCUCGUGCCGCUCCAGUUGCGUCUUGGCAAGUGGAAUCACCGCGUGUCAGGAACCUGGAACUGAAAUCGGGGCGGGGGGGAAAGAGAAGAAAAAAAUACGGUCUGUCGACGACGAGACGGUGAUUCCGUCCGUCCGCUUACCUUCAUCUGCGUGCGGCGGUUCUGGAACCAGAACUUGACCUGGCGCGGGUCGAGGCCGAGCCUCUUGCUGAGCUCGCCGCGCUGCUUCUCGUCCGGGUGAGGGCACUCCUUGAACAGCCUACGCGAACGCAGCAGGGAUCCGUAUCCAUGCAUUAGAAGACAAGAGACGAAACGAUGCGAACGGCAUGGCACUAUGGAGGGCAGGAGGGGGGCGCGGGUGUGUGCGUGCGUGCGUGCUUACGCUUCGAGCUCCUGGAUCUGCUGCGGCGUGUGGCGGUGGUAGCGCUUCUUGCGCUUGCGCGGGUUGCCCGGCUCAGCGUCGUCCUCGUCCUCGGCGCCGGCGCCGGCGGACAUGGCGUCCAGGUGGUCGCUCCCGGAGCGGCUGUCGUUCUCGGCGUCGGCGGCGUCCCUCGCCAUCCCGCCGGCCGCGGGGGCGCCGCCCACGGGGAGCAUCCGGCCGACCAUGCCGCCGCCGGGGUUCUCCUGCGAGAGGUAUACGACGCCGCAUUUCAUUCUCGUUCGUCCGGGGAAAAGGAGGCGAAACAAACAAAAAACCAAAUCGCUUGGGAGGAGUAGAGCCGGCCGGCACACAGGCGCGUACCAGACCGAGGGAGAGGGCCGGCGAGGACGAGAACCCGGUCGAGAACGGGAACUGCAUCCCUCCUCCUCCUCCGCCGCCGCCGGACCCGCCGUCGAAUAGGCUCCCGAAGCUCAUGGCGCCGGCCGCGCGCCUGCCUGGCCUCGUCGCACGCUAGCAGGACAGCACCGGAGAUCCACGCGCGCAGCGUCUCCUCGGCGGAAUCCUAGCCGCGGCGCGUGUAGGGUAGUAGUGGUGAGACGAGAGGAACGAGGGGGGGAGGAGAAGGAGAACGGCGGGUCCAGCGGCCCCCGGCCCCCGCGCGCGCGUGAGUGUGUGACUGAGAUAUGGAGCUGCUGAGGUCCGCAAAAUCCCAAACCCUCCACGGCGGGCAGGGAGGGAGGGAGGGAGGGAUAGCGAGGCGGAUGAUGGAUUAAAGAAAGGAACGGGAGGAGGGUCAAAAUAGCAAGUGGGGGUGGAGGGGAGGUGAGGAGAGGAGACGACGAGACGGGCACAGGGAGUCGUCCAGCGAAGGAAGAGUCCCGUCGUGCGUGUGGUGUGGACGCAUGAAAAAGGCUGGGGGGGGCAAGGGAAGGAAGGGAAGGGAUGGGGUCGGUCGAGAGAGAGUGGAGACGGCGCUGACGCUCCCCUGUCCUCCCCGGUGUCGCUGCUGAUGAGAGAGAGAGAGGCGCUUGGGCCCUGGGGCUCGGGCACACAGGCAGGGAGCGCAGUCAAAGGGGGCGGGCCGCUUAUUUUGUUGCCUUGUUUGUCGUCACCGACUCCGUGCUGGAAGGAUGGGGUCGAGACUGUGGGGGGCCGUGUGAUCUGGAUCCGACGGGGGUUUGGUGCGGCGAUUCAAUGCCGACCCGACCCAUGCCAGCCAGCCAGCCGGGCGGGGGGACGGACGGGGACGGGGACGGGGGAAUGGAACGGAAGAACACAACACCACACCGGGCCGACGCCGAGGCCGAGGCCGUUGGGGCCGCUGACCCAGCGAGUGAAUGCUGCCGAGGUGGACGGACCGAGCUGUGCGGGGACCGGUGGGCCCACGCGCCUGGCAGAGGCGUUAUCACACGAAUAUUGAGGCGCUGCCUCCGUCGUUCCUUUGUUUGGUGAGAGGUACUACCGUCGGCGUCUUGGCUCCGCUGGAUGGACCGGACCGGACUUCUGCUGCUGGGCGGCGGCGGCGCCCGCUCACGCUCAGCAGGUCCGCCUCACGACCAGCUCGGCCUCCCUACUUCCUCUCGCUAACCACUACUCCUAAUACUACAAUGCUGGCUAUCAUUUUCCGCAUGGUUGGAUCGAAAAUGCAUGGGCGCCACAUCCACAUUUAUUCUCAUAAAUGCCCCGUCUAGGCAUUAGCGUCAAGCCAUCUCCCCUAGAACAUGGGUUUCUCAUCAGCAAGGCACACUUGGGUAUGUUCCAUGUACACCAUGCAUGCAUAUUCGAGUACUAACACCGUAUGGGUCAUGUGUGUGUGUGUGUGUUUUUAGCAAAUUAUUGUUUUAUGUGAUAGGUUAUACUCCGAUAUCCAAAUUCUUGCGGUGACUUCACAGUCGUCCUUCGCCAACUUUCUAAAAUGUUUAUGUGGUUAGUAUACUUAUGUAGAUAUAUGUGAGAGUAUCUGUUUUCUACUGUCUUUCGUAGAAUACCACUAAGCUUAUCUUUCUUUUUUCAAAAACAUCGACAUGUCGAAAGGAAAGUAAUGUCAUUACAAGUAAGUGCUCUGCCAGAAAAAUGAAAAAAAAAGACACGUACUAACAUGGAAUUGUGAUGCUUUCCUUCCUUAGAGCAUGUACGUGUCUAAGAGCUAAAUGCAAAAAAAAAAACACACGUCUCUUGUUUGUAGCCUCAAGAUAGAAGACGUAGUUGAUUAAUAUAUUGGUGAAAUAAAUGUAGUAAGAUAUAAUAGGUUUUAGACACACCACUGUAUCUACCUUAAUUGUGUCUUGUGCUUAGAGUUUAAAAAUCAAAUCUAUAUUACCACCACCAGCGAUAAAUGAAUGUCGUUCUGAACACUGGUAGGUGUCAGCAUACGACUUCGACGAAUGCAUUUUAUUCGAACAAAAAUAAUAACAGAUUCAUAGAGUUACAAAUUGCCAAGGGCAUUUAAUUUCCAAACAAAGUCUAAUGACGUUGUGUGGAUGUUAAUUACCAAUUCAAAUAUAUCUUUUUUAAAUGAUUGACGGAUAAACUUAUGAGCUCUGACUACAUGUUUUUUAAAAAAAUAUUGUACAUUUAUGUACAAUUUACUUAUUAGUCGGAACAACGGUAUAUCUGAUGAUAAACAUUAAAACAUGAUGUUCAACGCUCUGCCUACGUACCAUGAAUGCACACAACACAAUGUACACCCUGAUAGUUUGUUUCCCAACGUAAAUGUGCCGCAAUGAAAUGUCCCUAGAAGCUAUAGCAAUCGGUAUCGUUGCCUAACUUUUGUUAGGAUAUGUACAAGCAUGAGCUCUUGGAUCGAUAGGUACAGAGAUAACUAAGAGAGACUAUACGAUAGAGUUAUGAAUUUUUAGAUCAUAAAUACAGUUAAUACACAAUACAUAUAUAUAGUGUCGUGUAGUAGGGAUAGCAAUGAGAAAUUUCUCGUUGGGUUUUAGCUCCCAUCCUCGGGCCCGCGACGAAAAAAAAAUCCCGCAAAGAUCCCUACGAACGCUUGCGGGGACAUUUAUUCUCCACCAUCGUUCCCCGUUUAAAUUCUAAUUAUGAUGUACUUCAUAUGUUAUUAAUGCAAAACUUUGUCGCUUAUAUACAUUUUGAGAUGUAAGAAAUCAUUAUGUGUACAUUAAAAAACACAUUUAUAGAAUAAAUAAUAUAUUAACAACAUAAUUAUUUAUUUUUAUCAUUAACUAUUACAUGAAAAUGUCGUCGUCACAUGGUUUAACGGGUUACUCUUUGCGGAAGAAUUUUCUCUGUGUUAUAUCUCCGUGGGGAAGAAAUUUUCACAUUCACACCACCUAAUGAAGAAUACCCAGCGAGAAAUCGAAGAUCGGGUCUCAUCGCCAUCUCUAUCGUGUAGAGACAGACUCUUCACAAAGAGUCUAUCUUUUUAAUUUUUUACAUAAUCUUUAGAGUCUCUUAAUUAUGGGAUUGUACAUGCCCUUAUGCCUCAUUAGAUCGAUUUUCUAUAUAUAUGUCAGGGGUAGUACUAGAGCUUAAACUAAUCCCAUUGACAAUCUCAUAUCUAAUGGUGUCCACUCAACAUCCAUGAAUUAUCCCAAAAGAUCCAUCAUCGAGAAAGCGUACAUAUACAUACAAUUUCUGUGUUGUUUUCCUCUAAACAACUGCUACAUUUAAAGGGACUCAUAAAUUUCAAUCAAAUAGGUGUGUGGAUGGGAGUACCGAUCUGUCUAUAUCACGGACAACAAAAUAUGUUAUCCACACUGCGCUUUCAAAAAAAAACAAGUGUCAUGAUGACAAUCGUGUGGAUGCUCAACGAACUGAACGAUGUAUUUGUGUAUCGCGCGGUACGAGAAUAUAACAGAUUUUAUGUGAUCCACGGUCAGAACUCACGUGGAUUGAGGAGUAUUUAAACAAGAUCAGAGAGAUAUUACUGCCACGCUAGUAUAGAUGACAAGUAUUUUUUCAGUGACGGUUGAUAAGUAACAGGUGCCAGAAAUAUAAAAUAUAUUUGUGGACCCAUGUUAAGAAACUCAAGUGCAAAUGUACCAACAUAUCGGUGGUUUCACUACAAAACCAUUGUGUACUAUUUACAUGGACGGUUAUUUUAGGAUGCGUUUGGUUGCCGGAUAGCUGGAGACAGGUACGAUUGGAACGUCAUCUGACGUUUUCUUUUGUCCAAUUUUAAAGGACAACUGGAGACAACAUUGUGAUAGUCAUGUUCCAACUCCUGACCCUGAACUGAACAACCUUGUUGAAGGGAUCUGUCGGCGUUUCGAGACCGGGGGGUCCCUAAGCCGACGAGUGAAUGUCGCCGCGUGCCCCAGCCCAGAUGGGUCGACGCGAGGCCGAGCGCGAAGGGGGGAAGUGAGGUGGCCGGAGACGGGCGUGAGAGAGGUGGAAAUCCCGCGGCCUUCGUGUUCGUCCCGCGCCCAGGUCGGGUGCGCUUGCAGUAGGGGGUUACAAGCGUCCACGCGGGAGAGGGAAGCGAGCGACCCCAAGAGAGCGCCUGUCCCGUCCUCGUCCCCGCGCGGCCAACCCUCUCUAAGAGGGCCCUGGUCCUUCCUUUUAUAGGCAUAAGGAGAGGAUCCAGGUGUACAAUGGGGGUGUAGCAGAGUGCUACGUGUCUAGCGGGGGAGAGCUAGCGCCCUAAGUACAUGCCGAUGUGGCAGCCGGAGAGAUCUUGGCACCCAGCUGGUGUGAUGUCGUGGUCGUCGGAGGAGCGACGGAGCCUGGCGGAGGGACAGCUGUCGGAGCGGUUGAGUCCUUGCUGACGUCCUCCUGCUUCCGUAAGAGAGCUGAGAGCCGCCGUCGUCACAGAGCUUGCAGGGCGCCAUCAUUGCCUAUCUGGCGGAGCUAGCCAAAUGGGACACCGGUCUUGUUCUCUGCGGCCCGAGUCAGCUCGGGGUAGGGUGAUGAUGGCGCUUCCUGUUGACGUGGCUGGCUUGCGCCCUAGGUUGGGCGACGUGGAGGCUCCUCCGAAGCCGAGGUCGAGUCUGUCUUCCGUGGCCGAGGCCGAGUCCGAGCCCCUGGGUCGGGCGAGGCGGAGGUCGUUCGGCGGAGGCCAGGGCGGAGUCCGAGCCCUGGGGUCGGGCGAAGCGGAGUUCGUCGUCUUCUGGGGCUGAGCCCGAGUCCGAGCCCUGGGGUCGGACGGAGCGGAGUUCGCCGUCUUCCGGGACCUAGCCCGAGUCCGAGCCCUGGGGUCGGGCGGAGCGGAGUUCGUCGUCUUCCGGGACUUAGCCUGAGUCCGAGCCCUGGGUCGGGCGGAGCGGAGUUCGCCGUCUUUCGGGACUUAGGCCGAGUCCGAGCCCUGGGUCGGGCGGAGCGGAGUUCGCCGUCUUCCGGGACUUAGCCCGAGUCCGAGCCCUGGGUCGGGCGGAGCGGAGCUUCCUAUGGUGCCUUUGGCAGGGCCUGACUGCCUGUCAGUCUCACUCUGUCAAGUGGCACUUCAGUCGGAGUGGCGCAGGCGGCGCUAUCCUUUUGUCAGGCCGGUCAUUGGAGCGGUGAAGUGACGGCGGUCACUUCGGCUCUGCCGGGGGGCGCGUGUCAGGAUAAAGGUGUCAGGCCACCUUUGCGUUAAAUGCUCCUGCGAUUCGGUCGGUCGGUGCGGCGAUUUAGUCAGGGUUGCUUCUUAGCGAAGGCAGGGCCUCGGGCGAGCCGGAGACGUGUCCGCCGUUGGAGGGGGGCCUCGGGCGAGACGGAAAUCCUCCGGGGUCGGCUGCCCUUGUCCGAGGCUAGGCUCGGGUGAGGCAUGAUCGAGUCGCUCGAAUGGACUGAUCCCUGACUUAAUCGCACCCAUCAGACCUUUGCAGCUUUAUGCUGAUGGGGGUUACCAGCUAAGAAUUAGGAGUCUUGAGGGUACCCCUAAUUAUGGUCCCCGACAGUAGCCCCCGAGCCUCGAAGGGAGUGUUAGCACUCGCUUGGAGGCUUUCGUCGCACUUUUUUGCAAGGGGACCAGCCUUUCUCGGUUGCAUUUUGUUCCGGCGGGUGCGCGCGAGCGCACCCGCCGGGUGUAGCCCCCGAGGCCUCGGAGGAGUGGUUUCACUCCUUCGAGGUCUUAAUGCCUUGUGUAAUGCUUCGGCCGGCCUGGUUGUUCCCUCAUGUGAACUGGCCGUAGCCCGGGUGUACGGUCGGGGCCCAAGUUCUCGGGCUGGUAUGUUGACGCUGUCAACGGUUUCGCCGGAGCCGGGUUUGCGAGAGCAGCCCCCGAGCCUCCGCACAGGGCGAGAGGGCGAUCAGGGACAGACUCGGCUUUUUUAUAUACGCCCCUGCGUCGCCUUUCCGCAAGGAGGAGGGGGGGAAAGCACCAUGUUACCCUCGAUGGGCGCCGAACAUGGUGUUUCCGGUGAGCUGCAAGCGGGUAAUCCGAGUGGACGUCCGUGCCCCGUUCGUUAGGGGUCGGCUAGGGGCCCAGAGGCACGCCCAAAAGUACAUGCGGGUGAUCUGCCGGACCCGGUCCCCUGGCGACGGGGUCCGAGGGCUCGAUGCCUCCCUCCGAUGGGAUUCCGUUACAAGAUCGCUCCCGCUGGUCUCGGAAAUGUCCUAGGGUACCUCGGGAGCGCAGCCCGAGCCUUGGUUAUGUAUCGAACGUACCCCUGGUCAUCCCUCGCUCGGCGUCUGAGGCGGCUGUGAACCCUUCGGGGGCCAGCCUUCGAACCCCUGAUCAGUAAUGGGCGCGGAGCCCGAGUAGCCUGAGGCGGCCGUGGAACCCUUCGGGGGGCCGGCCUUCGAACCUCUGACCAGUAGUGGGUGUAGGGCCCACGCGAUCUGAGGCGGCUAUUGAAACCCUUCGGGGGGCCAGCCUUCGAACCUCUGAUCAGUAAGGACGCUCGGAGCCUGGUUCCUUCACGGGGAAGGAUCCUUUUCGGGGUAUCCCCCUUUCCUGGUCCCUGUUGCAAGAGAUAGAGAAAGAAGAAAAACGGAAAAGGAUACGAAAUCGAACGACGCGACGUACCUUUUUUGGCGCGGUUAUUACGGCGAAGGCGAAGCGUCGCCUGCUCCUCCUGCCAGAAGCGCCGUCUGUCCCGCCGCGGAGUUAAUGCGACGGGGCGAGUUGUUGGCAGGGCGGCCGUUGCGCGUGCGUGAGCCGUUCGAGGAACGGCUGUUUCGCUUCGCGUUUUUUGAAUUCCGCAUCCGGUCCGGGCGGAACGUUGGAAACGGUAUCGCCUUGGUCUUUAUAUACCUGGGAGAGGGUCUGGUGACGGUUCUUCGCUCCGCUUCCUGCCUCCUUCUUAGGUUUUCGCAACCCGAGAGACUUUAGCCAGAGAAGAGAAAACCGCCCUUCCUGCCCCUUGCGUCGCCAUCCCUUCCGUUUGGUGAUGGCUGACCGAGUGACCAUCAUCUCGUCGCGCGAUCCAUGGCCCUUCUCUACGGUGACGGCGAGCGAUCUAGAGGAUCUGGUCGGCGAGGGUUUGCUUCGCCCUCUCACCGAUGAGCAGCGACCAUAAUGGAUUCCUCCCGCGGGCGGAGCCGCUCCAUCCCCACCGCCGGGGUACGUCGUGAGCUUCGUCUCCUUCCACGAGCGGGGAUUCGGUGUGCCGGCGGGCCGCUUUAUGCGGGCGAUCCUGUACCACUAUGGGGUGGAGUUGCACAACCUCACCCCCAACUCCAUCUCGCAGACCGCUAUCUUCGUAGCGGUGUGCGAGGGGUAUUUGGGGAUCGCCCCCCAUUGGGAUUUGUGGACCCAUCUCUUUUUCGCCGAGCUUUUUGCCUCGCCGACGGGGGAGAGGAAGGUCCGCGCAGCGGUGCGGGCCGGCGGCUGCACCCUCCUGUUGAGGCAGUCGCGGGCGUCGCAGUAUAUUCCUGCCAUCCUCGCAUCCUCGAACAAGGGGUGGCAGCGCCGGUGGUUCUACCUCCGGAACGACGGCGAGUUGCUCCCGCCGUUCUCCCAGUGAGUAGUCACCACCGCCACCGACGUCUGGCGUCACGGGACCCCGCACGAAAGACAGAAGAACCUCGGACCCCUUCUCCAGGCCUUGGAGGCGUUGCGGGAGGGGGGACUCACCGCUGCGGGGGUGAUUGCCGCCAUCCACCGUCGGAGGGUGCUUCCCUUGGCGGAGCGACGACUGUUGCUUUGGGAGAUGACCCCGGGGGCUGACUGGGAGGGCUCGCGGAUGUCCCCUGAUCCUCUUCCCUUCGACGCCCUCCAAUGGCGGGUGUCCGCUGCGUUGGGGAAGCCGGACCCCCACGCCUUCUCCCAGCUUCGGAUGCGCCCCGACCAGGGGUGCUUGACUCUGGUGAGUGUUCGCUCCUUCCUUCUUCAUACAUUGGGUUGCUCCUGGUUCUUACGAUCGGGCUUCUUUCCCCCCCUUCUUCAGGAGGUGGGGUGGCACAAGCCUUCCCGGCCACGAGUCCCGCAGGAUGCGGUGGACCGAGCAGCGCGGCGGGUCGCCGCGGAGGAGAAGAAGAGGAAGAAGGACGCGGAGAAGGCCCGGGCCCGUGAGCGGAGGCGGGCUCGAGACGCCUUGGAAAAGCGCCGUCGCCAGCAGGAGAGGGAGGGACUCCCGAGGGAGCCGCCGCCGAAAACGCCCGACGACGACGACGACGACGAUGAUGAGGAGGACGACAUGGCCGCCCGUCUCGGCCUCAGCCCCGUCUUGGGGUGUGGCCGGGAGCCGUCGAGCCAGCCCCCGAGCGGGCCGACGCCGUCAGUCCCCGGAGUCGGGGCGUCGGGGUCCCGGUCCGAGGCACGGGGGCAACCCGAGAGGACACCUGACCCCUCGGCCGGAGGAGCUGAGGUGACUCCGGGGGGCCAGGUCAGGGCGUCUGCUCCCCAAGAGCCGCCGCUCGUGCCGGCAGCGCAUGGAGGUGACCCUCAAGUCAUCGUGACAGCGCCCGGGCAAUCUGCUCCCCGGGUGUCCAAAGCAAGGGUGGCGCCGAAGUUGCCGGCGAAGCGGACCUCGGCGGCUGUUCCGGGAGCGGGGAUCAAGAAACUUCCCCCCAGGCGCGGUGGAUCAUGGCCCGGAGCGGGUAGGUAUCUCGGAAUGUCUUCGUCCUGGCUUUCCAUUCAUAUGUCUCGGCCGUGAUUUUCCUUUUUCCCUCAGCAAGCGAAGCCAUGGCCAGACCGACCUGGCACCCCGGAAGGCCCUUAAGACGGCGCCGGCCUGUGCGGCCAGCGCCGCUCCGGGCCUUGUCGUUCAGCCGACCCUCUCGCAGGGCGUUUCACCGCAGGGGGCUCGGGCGGCACCUGUCGCUGUGGAGCAGGUUCCCGAGGCCGGCUCUUCUGCCGAGGCGGCCAUCGUGAUAGGGGAGGCGGCUGACGCUGACGUGGUCCCGAGCCCACCUGACGUGCCGGCCAUGCUGGCGCCUGCCGCUACCCGAAGUCGCCGCUGUCCCAGUCGGAGAGCGACCGGUUGCUGCCGGCGUCGAGACGGCUGAUGCGUCGGCGCCCAGUGCCUCGGAAGAGGUGGGCGUGGAGGCGUGAUCCGUCCAGCCGGGCGGCAACCUCAUCGCUGUGCGGCGGAGCCCCGGGGCCCGUCGCCAGUUGCUCCGGUUUUGGACCCGCGAGGCCUCGGACCCUGUCUUCAUUCUCGACGAUGAACAGGAGGACCAGUCCUGGGAUGAGCUCCGCGAGUGUGCUGAAGCAACGGUGGGGUCGCUCCGGUCGUCGCUGGAGGUUUUCUGCAGGGACGUCCCCAAAAUCCUCCAGGUAAUGGUUUCAGGCAUACCUUUUCUUUUCUGUGAACGAGGCGUUCUUCGUGACGCCCCGUUUCCUUCCCCCAGGAUCUGACGGAUCGGAGCGCCGCCAAGUCGUCGUUCAUCCGCCGCGAGGUUGAUGUCUGGGGCUCGCUGCGAUCCCUGAGGACCUCGCUCGCCGGGGCUACUGCGCGCCUUUCUCAAUAGGGUGCCAAGGUAAGCGGACCUCCAGUUGCUCUGCACUGACCUGAGAGCCGAGGCGGCAGCAGCGCGCGCGGAGGCGGCAGCGGCGCGCGCAGAGGCGCAACGGCAGCGGUCGGAGUUCGUCCAGGUCGUCGAGGAGCGGGACCAAUCUCGGGGCCGGGCUGUUGAGGCCGAAAGCCGGGCUGAAACCCUCGCAGCCGACUUAGCCGCAGCCCAGGUCGCGGCCUCGGAGCAGCGUGCCCGGGCCGGAGGUACGCCUUGGCCGUCCUGGUUCUUGUUCUUGUCAGUUUCCUCUGCUUGUGUUUGAGAUCUUUCUUCUGACUGUUCGUAGAGCUCGAGUCCGCCCUUGACGAGUCCGCCAAGGCGCUUGCCGAGGCGCUUGCCGGAGCUGCGAGUAGAGGGAGGCUGACCUCGCGGCCAUGUCUGAGGCCGUCUUGACGUUUAUCGAUCCUUGGCUCCGGCGACGUCCCUUCAGGAAGCUCCCCUCAAAGCCGCCUUCAAGCCUUGGGUGAUCACGCGCGCGGCAGAGUCCGCGAGGCGCUACACCACGGCGUCAGGCGGGCCUUCGCCGUGCUCGCUUCCCACUACGUUGUGGACCUGGAGUGGGUUAGUGAGGGGUAUUGUCUUCCUGACGAAGACGAAGCUGCCCUGGCAGAAGUUUAGCGGCUCGACGUGGUCGCCGCGGGUCCGAGCGCAGUGUUGGCGACCACCUUUGAGGCGGAGAUCCUUCCCCCUGCGCCGUCACCGGAAGCCGAGAUGGACCUUACUGAAGGCGGGGACGGAGCUAAAGGCGCGGCUCCUUCCAAGGCGGCGCCUAACUCUUGUUGGAACAGUUUCUGUUGGAUGUGCGUGUGUCUUACUGCGGCCGCUGAGGCCUGAACACUUUGUUUUCAUUGCAUGAAGUCGUACUCUUCUUCCUUUUAUUUUGCGUGUCCGGCUUAGCCUGUCAUAAUAGGGUGGCUUCCGAGUUGGGUCAUUUUUCGUGGCGGGUGAUGAGUGAGGUGUCCUAACCCGGAGGCAUAGGAGUUCCUCGGCUCAGUCGGCCUCGCCACUUACAUGCACCACGUUCGCUCCUUGGGGCCCUGCUUCUGACAUAGCCGGGAGAACGCAAAAGCCUUUUUUGAUCGAAAAUUUUGGAUGCGGAGAGGUACACCCAAUCUUGACGCAGAGGGGUUCCCCCUUCUUAGCCCCGAGGGAGGGUCGGGCUCUGCCGAGGCGAGGCCGACCCUUCCUUGACGACUGAGACUUGUGUGGGAGCGAGGUAUACGAACAGCUUGAAACAUCUUAAGGGUAGAAGCAACGUAGCUGUCGGACGUUCCAAGCGUUGCCGUAGACCUCGCUUGACCGCGGCCAGCUUAUACGUUCCGGGCUCCAGAACGUCGGCGGUGACAAGCGGCCUCUCCCGGGGGUGCGUGCAGCCCCGGGUACCCCCAGCAAGGGCUCGGGGUGCUGUGCGAUGGUCGGGGUCUUCUCCUGGUUGGCUUUGAUGCCCCAUUUGGAGAUAAUGAACUCCAAGACCAUGCCCUGGGGCGCCCCGAGGACCCACCUUUCAGGGUUGAGCUUGACGCUUUUCGCUUCUUUUAGCCUGUGGAUCUCCUCGCCUAUCACUCUGCGCUUCUCCUUGUCGAAUCGGCGCAGAGGCUGCUUGACGGGUCGGGCUCCGGCCCGAAUAUCCAGCGAGUGCUCGGCGACAUCCCUUGGUAUGCCGGGCAGGUCCGAGGGACUCCUCGCGAAGACGUCGGCGUUCGUGCGGAGAAAGUCGACGAACACUGCUUUCUAUUUGGGGUCGAGCCCGGAACCGAUCCGGAUCUGCUUGGAGGCGUCGCCACUGGGGUCGAGGGGGACGGCCUUGACCGUCUCCACUGGCUCGAAGUUGCCGGCAUGGCGCUUCACGUCGGGCACCUCUUUGGAGAGGCUUUCCAGGUCGGCGAUGAGGGCCUCGGACUCGGCGAGGGCCUCGGCGUACUCCACGCACUCCACGUCGCAUUCAAACGCGUGUUUGUACGUGGGGCCGACGGUGAUGACCCCGUUGGGGCCGGCAUCUUGAGCUUCAGGUAGGUGUAGUUGGGGACGGCCAUGAACUUCGCGUAGCAUGCCUCCCAGUACCGCGUGGUAGGUUCCUCGAACCCGACCACCUCGAACGUCAGAGUUCCCUUCGGAAGUUAGAGGGCGUUUCCGAAGCAGACGGGAAGGUCGAGUCGUCCGAGGGGCUGGACGCGCUUCCCGGGAAUGAUACCGUGGAAGGGCGCAGCGCCAGCUCGGACGGAGGACAGAUCGACGCGCAGGAGCCUGAGGGUCUCGGCGUAGAUGAUGUUGAGCAGCUGCCCCCGUCCAUAAGGACCUUGGUGAGCCUGACGUCGCCGACGAUGGGGUCCUGACGAGUGGGUAUUUCCCGGGCUCGGCACGUGGUCGGGUGGUCAGCUUGGUCGAGGUGAUGGGCUUGUCGGACCAGUCUAGGUAGACUGGCGCCGCCACCUUCACCGAGCAGACCUCCCGGCGCUCUUGCUUGCGAUGCCGAGCCGAGGCAUUCGCCGCAUGCCCACCGUAGAUCAUGAAGCAGUCGCGGACCUCGGGGAACUCUCCUGCUUGCUCUUGUCGUCGGGGCCCUGCCACCCUCCGCGGGUGGCCCGGCCCUGUGGAAGUGGCGCCGAAGCAUGACGCACUCCUCAAGGGUGUGCUUGACGGGCCCCUGAUGAUAGGGGCACGCUCCUUGAGCAUCUUGUCGAAGAGGUUGGCACCUCCGGGGGGCUUCCGAGGGUUCUUGUACUCGGCGGCGGCGACAAGGUCCGCGUCGGCGGCGUCGCGUUUCGCUUGCGACUUCUUCUUGCCUUUCUUCUUGGCGCCGCGCGGAGUAGACGCCUCGGGAGCAUCUUCCGAUGGGCGGCCCUGGGGCUGCUUGUCCUUUCGGAAGAUAGCCUCGACCGCCUCCUGGCCAGAGGCGAACUUGGUGGCGAUGUCCAUCAGCUCGCUCGCCCUGGUGGGGGUCUUGCGACCCAACUUACUCACCAGGUCGCGGCAGGUGGUGCCGGCAAGGAACGCGCCGAUGACAUCCGAGUCGGUGAUGUUGGGCAGCUCGGUGCGCUGCUUCGAGAAUCGCCGGAUGUAGUCCCGGAGAGACUCUCCCGCUGCUGCCGGCAGCUUCGGAGGUCCCAGGAAUUCCCGGGGCGCACGUACGUGCCCUGGAAAUUGCCGGCGAAGGCUUGGACCAGGUCAUCCCAGUUGGAGAUCUGCCCCGGAGGCAGGUGCUCCAACCAGGCGCGAGCGGUGUCGGAGAGGAACAGGGGGAGGUUGCGGAUGAUGAGGUUGUCGUCGUCCGUUCCACCCAGUUGGCAGGCCAGGCGGUAGUCCGCGAGCCACAGUUCCGGUCUCGUUUCCCCCCGAGUACUUUGUGAUAGUAGUCGGGGGUCGGAACCGGGUCGGGAACGGUGCCCGUCGGAUGGCCCGGCUGAAGGCCUGCGGACCGGGUGGUUCGGGCGAGGGACUCCGAUCCUCCCCGCUGUCGUAGCGUCCCCCCGCCUGGGUGGUAACCUCGGCGCACCCUCUCGUCGAGGUGGGCCCGACGGUCGCGAUGAUGGUGCUCGUUGCCGAGGUGCCGGGGCCGCAGGCGCGGUGUUGCGCGUGCGCCCGGUGUAGACCGAGGCUUCCCCAUGAAUCGGAAGUCGCGCUGAGGUUCCGAGGGUUCCUGCCUUCGGGAGGCAGAGCUCUCGGCCCGUCGGACCGCAGCGCCUUCCAGGAGAUUCUUGAGCUCUCCCUGGAUUCGCCGACCCUCGGUGGUUGAUGGCUCCGCCAUCGCGCGGAGAAGCAUCGCUGCUGCAGCCAGGUUCUGACCGACCCACUGGAUGCGGGUGGGCCUAGCCUGACGCCGUCGGCGACGGGUGCUGGAACCCUGGCAGGGUGACGUAUUUCUCCGGCGGGGUUGGCCCGCCCAUGCCUGCCCGACGUCCCGGCGGAUCGGCCUCAAGCGCUCCUGCUCCUCGUCGAGCCUGGCCUGCGCCCCCGGACUUGCUCGAGCUGAUGGGUCGUGACCCCCGCCGGAACGGGGACCACAGCUAGCUCCCGCGGGAUGUCAGCGCGAGGCACCGCCUAGGGAGAUCACCGUCCUCCGGCAUGCAGAUGAUUGCCUUCGGGAUCCCCUAGCUCGACGUGGAACAUUCGCGGCUUGGGCCGCAGUCCUCGUCGUCGAGGCUGCGGCUACCGUCGGAACAGUCGGAGAGGCAGUAGUCACAUGCGGUCAUGAAGUCCCGCAUGGCACUGGGUUGCCAAAUCCAGAGAAUCCACAACAGAUGUUGGGUCGUCAUCUUCCUCGGACCCAGAGGGCCCGUAGGUCGAGACGUCCGUCACGGUCCCAGGCGACCGCAUGCGAAACCCAGAGGGGUUGAACUCGCCUCUACGAGAGCGCCCGCCNNNNNNNNNNNNNNNNNNNNNNNNNNNNNNNNNNNNNNNNNNNNNNNNNNNNNNNNNNNNNNNNNNNNNNNNNNNNNNNNNNNNNNNNNNNNNNNNNNNNAUAUAACAUAAAUAUUGAUAUUUGUUCAUACAUUUGCUUAAAUUGAAAACAUUUGAUUUUUUAAGAGAUGAAAUUGACAUCACACCCGAACAGUACAGUACAAUUUCACAAAUUGUCACCCUGACACCUUUCCAAGAUCUGCGCCCUUCCUACCCUGUAUGGUCCACUUUGUCGCUUUCCGCUGAACUUGUGAAAAAGUUCGGUGCUCCCCAGUUCCCACACUAGCCGGCUUUCGCUUUGAACUAUGGUCACGGCCCUUUUUCUUCUCGCAGCAGUAUCUGAUACAAAGCUGACAGACUUUUGCUGUGUAGGUUCUCCUUGUCGUUGUCGUUUAGGAAUAAAAAUGCUGAGAAAGUGUUAUUUUAUGUGAGACUUCCCAUAAAUUACUUGUGACUUCAGUAAGCAGCAUCAGGAUUACUGGUCACUUCCUUUUUUUGUUUGGUAAACUAAAAGUGAGGGCUUGUUUAGAAACGGUUUAUAAUACCAUAGUUUACCGAAACCAUGACACAACAAUGAUAUAUUCCACAUCAGUAUAAUUUAACAAUUGUUUGAAGACAUAUAUUUUGGUUGCAGCUUAGGGUUAGGGUUAGGGAAGAGAAAAGGCAAAACUUAAGUCACAUGCCACUUUGGUCUAGACAAACAAAAAAUUAAAACCCCAAAAAAUUGUGGUAUUGGAAAUCAUGCCAUCAUGGUUCAAAAUACGGAGCUUCUAGAUGUGUCUCAAUCAGCUUUUAGCUUAAAAUAUCAUAGUAUAUUUAAAUACUAAGUAAUUUUGAAACUAAGAAAAUACUAUAUUCCCAAACAGAGCUCUGGUACUCGACCUUAACAGCCAAACGCAGAAUGUAUUUGGAAAGCUCUGAUCCGAAAACAGUGGCGUUCAUCACUACAGAAACAAUUAUUUUCAAAGCGAAAACCUUUAAAAAUACUAUACCAUAUUCCUACACCCACCGAUCCGGAAAAACAGCUGCUAAAUUUAGACCUGUGUUGUAUGUUACUAGUCACACUUUGCUAAUUUUACCUUAGACAAGUUAUAAAUUUGGUAAAUAUUAGUUGGCAAUUGAAUUUAGGCAGGAAUAAUUUAGGCUCCACGUCUCAUAAAAAUAAAAAAGGUGGCAAGGUUACAUUAGGACAGCAAAGUGGGCUUUAAAAUUCUUUGCCACAUUUUCUAGGUUGCUACACUUGUCAAACUUAUGUGGCGAACUCCGAACAGUGUUUUGUUCUAUAGAUUACAGCUGCAGCAGUCCGAACAGCAGGCUUAAUCCGAAGCGAACAUGUGCUAACUCGUCUAUUAGUACUUGGAUAGCUGUGUUCUAAAUAUUGAUUUAGAUUAUUUUAAUAUAUGCUUCAAAUAAUUAAUAUUUUUUUUAUUCGUGUGUUAGGUUCUAUCUCUAGACUUGAAAUAAAUUAUGAAGAAUAAUCAUAUUGCUUUACAAAUAAUGUAUCUACUUUUCCGUUACGUCGCUAACUUUUGAACUACAUUUUUUUAGUGUGUUUUUAAUACAAAUCGGACUAGUGCUUUAACCAAUCCUAGUUUGGCCACUGCCCCACAACGUUUUCAGGUGCACUCUUUAAGAGAGGGUUUUCCACUGCCAUUCCCACGUUUCAAGGGCGAGGAACAUGGUACUGUACCAUGUUUCCAGGACACGGAACGUGGCACGUUCCCGGGCACUGCUCUAGACAUGCUAUUUGAAAAAAAAAAACAGAACAGAAUGGCAGCAGCAGUAGUACUCACACUGGCUCUGAGGAGGGACACCGAGUUCCCGUGCUCCUGCCCUUGGCGAGUUGGCCAUCUCUGCAUCGGGCCUCCGUUGCUGAGGAUUCCCACUCCGCACGCAGCUCCGUCACGGAGGAAGUUGAAGAGCUUCUCCGAGCCACGGCACCCACACCGAUGUGGCUGCGCUUAGGACCACGCCGCGCGGCUCCCCAGGCUCGUCCACGCUUUUCCGUGCCAUGACCCGCACAUCCUCCCCGAUGCUGCCUGCAGCGCCGUCCAGCUUACUCCAUUCACGUGCAGAUGACGCGCUGACCCGGCGCAGAAGUUCUCCGUCAUCCGCCGUCCAGCUUCAGCAUGCUUCGCUUGCCCUCCUGUGUUAACUGCACCGAAAGCCAUGCAUGCAUGCAUGCCUCAAGUUAAAGCUAGCUAGCACCUAUGUACGUACUGAUCCAUAGACAUUUUCAAGUUUGGUGAAAAGUAUUUAUUUAGUAUUCCUUGAUCGCUUUCAUGCAUGGAGAACAAUGCACGUAUCAAACUAGAAACAAAAAAAAAUCGUUUGCACUGACUAUAUAUGUAGGCACAGUCCAUUACAGGCUGUACAUGGAAAAUAGCAACAAAAAAGUUCAGACUUUGCUGUACCUGACGAGUCAUUAGCUGAAACUGUAUCAGGGGACAUGAGUAUGGCCAGGCAUUCGCACUGGCGCUGCAGCAUUGCAAGCCACCGCCUGGCCCCAAAGGCCAGCCCGGACCGGAUGAGUGGUCUAUAGAGCUGGUGUACUGACGCCUCGUCGUAUUCCGUAUACUCUACCCAUGUGACCUACAGGGUAAAUGCAUCCGUUAGUCCAUAAAUCAUCAGGUCCACAUGUAAUUGUCCGGUCGCAAGGGGCCUCUGCGGCGCAGUACAGCACUUAUGUGGGAACACUGUAGUCUGUAGUCAUCGCAGUCCUCUUUAACUUGUUAAAAAAACAUUUUUUUCAACGGUGGGUGAUUGGUAUAAAGAGGUAAGUAAAAAACAGGAUCCGAGACCAUAUGUGCAUAUCACAAAGUGAUAUCAUAAACCAAGAUUUCAUUGCGCAUGGAUCAGGUAACAAGUCAGCAUAAAUCUGGCAGGCGUUUGCACACUGUCCCAACCCUUAGCUUUCAUAUGACAAUACAAACCAGUCCUGAAAGCUCCCACUAGACUCAUCAAAUAACUCGUAGGUUCAUAAACUGAUGUGCAUCAUAAAGAAGGAAUGCAAUUAAUUUAUUUCAUUCUGUUUCGCAAAGUUCUUGGAUUUUAGGCAAUAUCAUUUCAAAAACAAAAAUCAGUCGCUUCCUUUCAGCAUUGUGUUUGGCAUAUAAAGAUAUGCUAUUCAUCAGUGGUCCAGAUCAAGAUCAUGUCAAGACUUGUGCAAAGCCCGAGGACACAAAUACUGGCACUUUUAGCCCUGAUGCACGAGCCCCUGGUCCAAAGUUCAACAUACAGGCAGGGACAGAUUGAUUAAAUUGCGGACAGGUUACCCAAGGUGCUCCAACCGAGGGGGAAGCAUCUAAUCCCCUAAGAAAAGCCAGUGCUGCGGCUAGAAAAAAAAACCACAAGGAAACAUGCUUGGGAAUGGUGUUGGAUCCAUGAAACACUGAUUAUUCCUAAACAAAUCUUUUAGCCUCCUCCUCGUUGACCAAGCAGCUUUGUUUAUUUGGGUUGUGGCUCAUGACCCUAAUUAAACUAUUAGCCCUUGACUUGUGAACACGAUGCUGCAUGGGCAUCACCCAAAUCACACCAUUAGAUUAGUAGGCAGGCGCUAUAAAAAAAUGUUACACGUAGUCCCAGGCUCUGAUAGUGAGGCCGGUGUGGAGGUAGUAGUGGAGUAGAGGUGGAAUUCAUGGUUAGUACUAAGCUCAUCAGGGAGGAUAGAUCCGCCACCGUGUUACUUGAUGUAAAAGUUCAGAAACUUUACAGAGUGACAGUCACGUCAACUCGAUUAGGCCCACACGACUGCUAGUAUGAAGUAGGUGGUCCAAAGAGUACCAUUUUACACUACCCCACUCGACAUGCGAACACUACAGACAGAAACGAAUAAAUGGAUUUUGGUUGCUAGUACCUUGCAGUAGCCAUUGGGAUGCCUGCAUCACACAGCCAGAAGGCAACCUCCUGCACCGUAUAUUUCCGGCGUUGGAUGCUGUUCCAGAGUUGUGAUCUCUCACCAAUCCGUCAAUGGACACAUCACUACUGCCACAGCCCUCAGCCAGCUGCUUGCAAAACCUGAGAAAUUGACCUCCCUGAUGGGCAUAGAGGUGAGACACCUGUAGCUCAGCCUUCAUCUGUUGCACCCAAGCAAAAUGCAGAUUUUGAGUUUACAAAGUAUUCAGAACACUGCAGUCAGUGGCCACUAUAAAAUACAUGUGCAUAUAUGAUCAAGCCCAUGGAAAGGAGCUGUUUGGCACUCAUCUCACCAGCAGCACGCACCAUUCCUACUUCCUGCAAUGCCAGAUGUCACCUCCUCUAGGACUGUGGCCUUAGCAAUCAUGCACGAGAACAUAUCAGACCACCGUCCUGCGACAUGGAUGGAGAGGAAGAUCAGCAAAAAAAAAAAGUCAUGGAGCAACAAUGGUACCAAGCGAAAUUGCAAAAACAUGCAUGAACAGGAUACAAACCACGUCCAUAAGGGUCUCUACAAGAGCAAGGCUGUUGUCAAUGAUGACGAGGCCAGACUCCCUAGAGGCCUCGGAUACAUAGCCCACAGGCUUCACGGCGCCGACGGACGGAGAGAACGAGUGGGCAUACUCCUCAAAGUUGAGCAGCUUCUUGUCGGGAGAGCCACUGAGGCUGGGAAGCCACAAGGGCUCGUCAACCUGUGCCAGCUUAACUAGUUCAUCCAUGGCGCUGAUCGCAAGCUCCAGCAGCAUGGACCUGUCGACGCCCACCAUAGGCGGCGGAGCAGAUCCGGUCGCCCGUGCAGGCGUGAUCACCGUGCCCAACGGGCUAGACACACCGCCAGCAAACUCGUCCAAGGAAGGGAUAGACCCUAGGCCACGGAGGCCGCCUACUGCCAGCUCCAGCGACGAGCUCGGCAUGGGCAGCGACAGGUUCGGCUGCAGCAUGGGCCCCGAGAGGACGGGCAUGGGCUUGCCGAGGAACUUGGUGGCGAGGCGUAGACGCGGUUGAGCUCGUCCUUGAGCCGCGCAUUCUCGAUGCACAGGUGCUGCUCCUCCAGGGACACCUCCCCGAGCAUGGCGGGGCUCCCGCAGCUGCCGCACAUCGGGCUGCGCAUCGCCUCCCGGAUCGCCAUGUUCUCGGCCCGCAGCUUGUCGUUCUCUUGCUU
rnacentral:lncRNA from 1 species